rnacentral:lncRNA from 1 species
AGGGAGAAAAGCCCGCCCGAGGCGCGGUGCUGACGGUGGCUGGGCUGCCGGGUGCGCUGUGGAACCGCCUCCUGCUAGAGCAGCGGGCUGGCGACGGUCCUCGCCGGGGCGGGAAGCGGCUCAGGCUGCCCUCGCUGGCCUGCGGCGGCGCGGCUGGAAGCGCGGGCCACUCGUGCGUGGGUCACUCAGGACUGCGCCUCGCGCGACUGUGUGUGCAGGAAACAAGCAGGAAAUACCCUAAAAGAGAAUGAAGCGCCAUGUUGAGGGUCGCGGACGUCGCGAGUGCUGUGGGAAUGUGGGCUGAGGUGGAGAGUUAUGGUAGCCCGUGUUACAGGCUCAGGGGUCUGAAAGAAGCCUAAUCGUGGAGGCGGCAUCUGAGGAGGGUCUUGAAGGCUGGGCAGGCAUUUGCCCGACAGAGAUGGAGGAAGCUAGUCCUGUCUGAUGGAGGAAACAGGGCGGAGGCGUGGAGGGAGCCGUGCAGCGCUGGUGUGAGGAGCAGCGAGCAGGCCAGGCCUGUAAAGCAGAGUGAGGGAACCAGGAUAGAGAAGGCUGUACAGGAAGCAUGGUGAUGGCAUCUGCAUGGCGCCUGUGGAGGCCCCAGGGAGCUUUUACUCAUGAUGGAAGGCACAGAGGGAGUAGGCACAUCACAUGGUCCGAGGAGGAGCAAGAGAAAAUGGGAGUGGGGCUCUUUGUCCUGGGAAGAGUUUGCUGCAUCUUCCAGUUUCAGUAAUCAAAGAAGCAAAGUUCCCUGCAGUUCUUCAAGGAACCUUGAGAAUUCAGAAGGUCUUGGGGUGGCUGCAUCCAUCCUGCAGACAAAUGCCAAUCAGCAGAGGGGCCAUUCCCAGGGACACAUGUCUGGCUGACUUGGGCCUUGGCCAGAAUUAAGAUGAUCUUUGAGCAGCGCGUUAUAGUUUCCCAAACAAGAAUGUGAGAAACACCGGAAGAAUACGCCCAGCCUCAGCCCGAAACACCGCGGGAAUACGCCCGGCCUCAGCCUGGGACACCGGAAGAAUAAGCCCGGCCUCAGCCUGGAACACCGGAAGAACACGCCCGGCCUCAGCCCGGAACACCGGAAGAACACGCCCGGCCUCAGCCCGGGACACCGCGGGAACACGCCCGGCCUCAGCCCGGGACACCGCGGGAACACGCCCGGCCUCAGCCCGGAACACCGGAAGAACACGCCCGGCCUCAGCCCGGGACACCGCGGGAACACGCCCGGCCUCAGCCCGGGACACCGCGGGAACACGCCCGGCCUCAGCCCGGAACACCUGAAGAACACGCCCGGCCUCAGCCCGGGACACCGCGGGAACACGCCCGGCCUCAGCCCGGGACACCGCGGGAACACGCCCGGCCUCAGCCCGGGACACCGCGGGAACACGCCCGGCCUCAGCUCGGAACACCGGAAGAACACCGGAAGAACACGCCCGGCCUCAGCCCGGGACACCGCGGGAACACGCCCAGCCUCAGCCUGGAACACUGCGGGAAUACGCCCAGCCUCAGUUUUGAAAUAUUGCAUCAGUUCUUCUGCUCCUACAUCAUGGAGCUCUUCCUCAUCAAUAGAUUUAAUUAAUUUAAAUAUUUAUUUACAAUAGCCUCUUUUAUCUUGACCUGUUCUGCACAAGGCAGUCCUGGAUACUGUGCUGAGGGUUUCACUCCGCGAUAGCCGGUGCCCUACCCGAGUCUCUGCACAGCGGCUACAUCCCCGUCUCAAACCAGUGCUCUGGCGUCUGUGUUUACCCUCCCUGAGCUUACUGUAUAAAAAAGACUGCUUUUGAGAGACAUCAAGAAUGCACGGUUCCACCUUUAUGAUGAGAGACAGAUCCCAUUAAAAGAAAAGUUCUGCAUUCUGAAAAACUGAGUAGGUUGGCACUUAAAAGGGAAUUCCAGCUGGUUAAUUUAGGGUGCUGAAAAAAAGAUCCGGCACAGGAAUGCUUUCUGGCUGUGGGCCCACUGCAUUUUCAACUGAUUGCGAACUGGAGACGUUUUCAUCACACGAGGGACUCCGCUUUUCAGUAUCAUGUUGUUCUGAGACAGGAAAACAAGUGAGCACACACGGUUUGGCCCUGGUAUCCUAGCUAUAUUCACGAACAUGAUCAAUGCCAGUUGCAUGGAAACCAAAGAUAGCCUUAUGCUUGCCGAUAUAUUAAAAGUAAAAAAAAAAUCUGAAUGAAAAUUUUAAAAAUAUUUUCCGUCUUGAAGUUUUUUUUUAUUCUUGCCUCCUAAUUUUCUUUUCUGUUGUGUCUAAGAAAAUAUUCUGAAGAUAUGAAAAGAGCUUUAGGUAAAAGAACAGUUUUGAAAAUUGUUAAUUUCCUGUGGUAUUUUUUUUCUUCAG